rnacentral:rRNA from 1 species
UACGGGGGGGGCAAGCGUUGUUCGGAAUUACUGGGCGUAAAGCGCGCGUAGGCGGAUCGCUAAGUCAGGGGUGAAAUCCCAGGCUCAACCUUGGAACUGCCUUUGAUACUGACGAUCUGGAGAUCGGGAGAGGUGAGUGGAAUUCCGAGUGUAGAGGUGAAAUUCGUAGAUAUUCGGAGGAACACCAGAAGCGAAGGCGACUACCUGGCCUGUUCUUGACGCUGAGGCGCGAAAGCUAGGGGAGCAAACGGG